rnacentral:lncRNA from 10 species
CCAUGACAGCUGCAAGUUGCAUCUGGAGCCAUCAGUCCCCUCCUUCUUUCAGUUCUGAAGCUGUGUCUGAUUGACUGUGACAGCCCCUCUCUCAUAGUCCCCUCAUCCCUCCCUGCAUCUCACUUCUGUUGGGAAUUCCCAAAGUUCACCAUACUGAAUAUUCACACCUUGCACCAUGAACCCAGAAGUGUGAGAAGCCAAGAAGGAAAUGACUACCUCUAG